rnacentral:rRNA from 1 species
UACAGAGGUCCCAAGCGUUGUUCGGAUUCACUGGGCGUAAAGAGCGUGUAGGCGGCCAGGUAGGUCGGUUGUGAAAACUGGAGGCUCAACCUUCAGAGGUCGACCGAAACCAUCUGGCUAGAGUCCGGGAGAGGAGAGUGGAAUUCCUGGUGUAGCGGUGGAAUGCGCAGAUAUCAGGAGGAACACCAAUAGCGAAGGCAGCUCGCUGGGACGGUAUUGACGCUAAGGCGCGAAAGCGUGGGGAGCAAACAGG